CUACCCCUGAUGAGUCCCACAAUAGGACGAAACGGCCGUCCAGUGC
rfam:Schistosoma mansoni strain Puerto Rico chromosome 2, complete genome